ensembl:lncRNA
CAGCUGAGUCAGUCAGACUCAGUGGAGUUAGUGCUACCAGAAACUCGUUCAGUCGAGUUUCCGGUGAUUCGAAUGAUGAACGAGACGAACGUGAGAAACGAACCGGUUCGGUUUGUUCGUCCUUCGUCGUUCUGUUCGUUCAUUCGAACCGGUUCGCGAACGACCGAGCCAACACUAGAGAACACAUGUAGCGAUAGGCUAGGGAGCUAGACCUACAGUGCUUUGCUACGUGCUUACCUUCAAUAUAAUUACACUUGAACGUAUGUCGGUCUCCUGUGCUUAUUACUACUUGCAACAUAACAAAUUGGCGACGAAGAACUUACUCACGUUACUUUUGCACUACCGAUUUUUUUUGCUACAUUUUAAUGUUUCAAUAUGACUGCUACAGCACCUUUCCCGGAUUUGUUUCUGACUGCGCCGGGGGAGCCCGCCGUUCCAUUCAAGAUUUGGGAACAAAUGUUGAAGAACUACUGCUUGGUCAUCGACGUGGAUGGACUAAACUGGACUGAGGCAAGACAACGUGCCCUUUUGCUUCACUGCUUAUAUUAGGAACAGAGAGACAAAGAAUAUUUGACACAUUGCCGGAGACUGGUGCUACAUUGGCCACUGCGAUAGCUGCCCUGCAUGGCUACUUCACACCAAAGGGGUGCUACAUAUUCAACAUUCUCAAUAGCCUCAACCUCUCCAUCCAGGGGCGCUAUGCAUCCAUCCUUGACGUUAGCGACAAAAUAACUGCUUUUAUGAGGAAAACUGAGCUAUGGAGAAGAAGACUCCAAGAUGGAGUGACCGACAUGUUCCCGCAACUCACGGAUUAUCUUCACGCAAACAACCAGUCAGUUGCUGCAGUGAAAGAGAUCCCUUUGCGCCAGGAGUAACAUGUAGCGGCCUCCCUAGCAAAGCAGAGGAUGAGUUGGUGGACUUAUCUUGUGAUCGGACUCUGAAGGCCCGAUUCCAGCAGAGUUUAGAUUUUCUGCCCGCACCCGAGCCCGAACCGAACCGACCCGACCCGCGGGCCGGGUCGGUCCAAUAUUUCCCGCCACUAUCCUCGGGUCGGAUCGGACCGGGCGUGAUCAAGCUUUUUUGAGAGGGGGAAUCCAGGAAGGAUUGGGAGGAGAAAGGAGCCGAUCGCCACCAGAGAUCGCGCCAAGCAGAAUUUGAUUUACGUUCUGUCUAAUUGCCUUUGAUUUAUACGUUUAUGGAAAGCAAUAAAAGAACUUCCUUGGG